rnacentral:rRNA from 1 species
UAUAUGGAGCUUGCUUUAUAUAACUUAGCAGCGAACGGGUGAGUAACACGUAGAUAAUCUAUCCUAUACUGGGGGAUAGCCCGAUGAAAGUUGGAUUAAUACCGCAUAUAGCUAUAUAGUUGCAUGAUUAUGUAGUGAAAGAUUUAUUGGUAUAGGAGGAGUCUGCGGCACAUUAGCUAGUAGGUGAGGUAAAGGCUUACCUAGGCGACGAUGUGUAGCCGGUCUGAGAGGAUGAACGGCCACAAUGGAACUGAGACACGGUCCAUACUCCUACGGGAGGCAGCAGUGGGGAAUAUUGCACAAUGGGGGAAACCCUGAUGCAGCAACGCCGCGUGAGUGAAGAAGGUUUUCGGAUUGUAAAGCUCUGUUAGCAGGGAAGAGGAAGGACGGUACCUGCAGAGGAAGCCACGGCUAACUACGUGCCAGCAGCCGCGGUAAUACGUAGGUGGCAAGCGUUGUUCGGAAUAACUGGGCGUAAAGGAUGCGUAGGCGGUUAAACAAGUUAUAUGUUAAAUAUAUAGGCUUAACCUGUAGAAAGCAUAUAAAACUGUUUAACUAGAGUGCAGGAGAGGUAAGUGGAAUUCCUAGUGUAGCGGUGAAAUGCGUAGAGAUUAGGAAGAACACCAGUGGCGAAGGCGACUUACUGGACUGUAACUGACGCUGAGGCAUGAGAGCAUGGGGAGCAAACAGGAUUAGAUACCCUGGUAGUCCAUGCUGUAAACGAUGGGUACUANGUGUGGGUUGUGAAUAACAAUUCGUGCCGUCNCAAACGCAAUAAGUACCCCGC